rnacentral:lncRNA from 1 species
AUCCGCUUCUCAGUUCUCUCUGGCCUACUUACUCUUUAGUCAUGACAGCUCAUGCUGCUGGACCGUUGCACUUCUGUUCUCUGUCCCAUUCACUGUUAUUCCACUGCAUGGUCUGCUUUCUAACUUCCAUCAGAUACCUAUCAGAGGUCAACUUACCAGGAGUUACUUCCGGGAUGACUUAUCUGAGUGCUCUGCACAGACACUGGCUCUUAAGAACUGGGGUUAAUUUUUAUUCUUAGCACUUGCCAUCAACUGAAUGGUAAAACAUUUAUUUUCCUUAUUUAUUAUCCCUUUGUGAAUAUAUUUAUUAAAAGUUUUUAUUUACAAUUCUAAUCCCAGGCACUUAGAGCAUAAACCUCAUCCUUGCCAUUCCUAAAUGUUAAUUAAAUGAAUAAAUAAAUGAAUUGAAGUAACUCACCAAUAAAGGCUACUCCGAAAACAAUUUUAAAUAGAAAAAUUUUUUUUUAAUUUUUUAUUUAUAUAUAUAUAUAUGUAUGCCUGAGUGUAUUUAUGUGUAUCUCAUGCAGGCAGGAAGCCAGUGAGGUUAGAAAAGACCAUUGGGUCCCCUGAAAGAAAAGUUACAGGGAACUGUAAAGCACCAUGUGGGUGCUAAGAACUGAACCUGGGUCUUCUGCAAGAGCAACAAGUGCUUGUAACUGCUGAGCCAGCUCUCACUUCCUUUUCCUGGUUCUUUCUUUAUUACUGAACAUUUCAAGGGCUUAGGUUUUAUAUCUUGGGGCUUGGUUUAUUUUUUUAAGGCUAGUGUACACUAUGUCUCUUCAUGGCAUCCUCCCAUGAGCAGUUAUUAUACUGACGCCUCUGGUCACCAUUCUUCUCCAGUGCUCUCUCCUAUCCUCUGGUAGGAGCAAUGCUCGGGCCUCCUCUACAUGCUAGGCAACCUUUUACCACUAAAGAGAUAACCCCAGCUCAGGUUUAUUAGUUCUGAUGUCAAGUCUUUGUUAUCAUAGCCUUGACUGGCCUGAAAUUCAAUAUAUAGACCAGAAUAGUCUCAAACUUCUAGAGAUCUGCCUGCCUCUGCCCCCUGAGUGCUGAGAUUAAAGGUGUGUACCACCUCACCUAGCAUUGGGAGGUUUUUGUUGUUGUUUUAAUAUUUCUACUUUGGAAUAUCUUAGCUAAUAAGUAAGGACAGAAUUUAGAAUGGUGCUCCCAGAAAUCCUGGUACUCAGAAAACUAAGGCAGGAGAAUAUAGCACUUCCAGCCAGUGUGGGCUACAUAGUGAGAUCAUGUCAUAGUCGAAAAUGUUAAGAAUGGCUGGUUAGAGACCCUUUUUAUUCCUAAUUUUAUUUAUAUUUCUCCUUUUUCUUAAAUUUAUAGCAACAUUGCAUCUUAUUUUUUCAAAACAUUCCCUUACAUCAGUAUUCAUUAAUUUUUGUUUUCCUUUCUUUUUUUUUUUUUUUUUUUUUAAAGAUUUAUUUAUUUAUUUAUUUAUUAUAUGUAAGUACACUGUAGCUGUCCUCAGACACUCCAGAAGAGGGAGUCAGAUCUCGUUACAGAUGGUUGUGAGCCACCAUGUGGUUGCUGGGAUUUGAACUCCUGACCUUCGGAAGAGCAGUCGGGUGCUCUUACCCACUGAGCCAUCUCACCAGCCCUGUUUUCCUUUCUUUUCUUCCCUUUUCCUUACAACUGUUUUUCCUAUUUGUGAUCCAUCUUCCAUGCUCAUUUUCUAUUAGUUUAUAUAUGUCUAGGUUUUAUGGUUUUGAAUAUGCCAUCACUAGUACUUUGGCUGCAUUCUAACCCAUUUAAAAAUGUAUUAUUCUACUGAUCCUUUUCUAAACAAUUUUUAUCUUGCAGGGUUUUUUUUUUCUUUAAUUAUUUCCACAUUAGAUUUUUUUAAGUGUGCCCUAAUAACACUUAGUCUUUUAUUUAUUUUUUUUAAUUAUUUUUUUUCCAAGCAGUCAGUGUAGUUUGAGCAAGCAGAGAGCAGGAACAUCUCGUGUAGAACAGAGCAGGCAUGCUGGGCAUGAUUAACUACACUAAAAAUGCCUUAAUUUUAUUUUGUGUAUGUGUGUGCAGUGUGGCGGACACGGGCACGCCACACUGCACGCACUGUCACAACCCUCGAGAGGUCGUCCUUUACUUCCACCUGAGUCCCAGGGCUCAGAAUGAGGUCAGCAGGCUUGCUUAGCAAGGGCUUUUCUUUUACCUGCUCAGCUACACUUUACCUUUCCACACUUAAUCUUUUUUAAAGUCUUUUGAAUUUUAAAAAAGAAGUUGAUUUAUAAAACUUAGCCUUUAGGCCUAGGGAGAUUGCUCUGCCCACAAGAUGACACAUGCUUGUAACAACAGCACUGGGGAACUGGAGACAGGAAGCCUGCUGCUUGGUGAUCCCAAGGCCAGUGACAGAUUUUUUUUCAUGUUUCUUGUGUGUCACUGUUUGCCUAUCUCUUGGAGUGGUUUCUCUUUCCAUCAUUUAUUAGGAUUCUUUCUCUAUCAGCAACUUUGUCUUGAGGGCUCCACCUCUGGUACUUUUCAGGACAGAGAAAAUGAACCAUCAGCACCAAGCAUGGAAAAGGGAAAGAAUGUGAAAUAAAAUUGAGACAACAUCUAAUUAAAAUUUUGUUUUAAACAAAAGAUUUAGUCAGACUACAAAAUAAAGACCAUGGGCCCAUAAGAUGAUUUAGCAGGUAAAGGCACUUCAGGACCUGAGCGGUACCCCUAAGACCACUGAGUGGGUAAAGAGAACUGACUACCACAAGUUGUCCUCUGACCACCAUACAUACCGUGGUAUGCUUGCACCCACACACACCUAUAAAAUGUUAUUAAAAAUUACCUUUUACUUUUUAAAAAAUGUAGCUCUGUUGGUAGUCAUUGCCUAACAGCCACAGAACCCCAGCAUUGCACACAAGUGAGUGUGGUGGCAUUCUUCUGUAAUCCCAGCACACUUCUAUGGCGCAGGGUCAUCCAGAACUCUGGAAAAUCUUCAUCCAGCAUCGAUUAUGGAGUUCCUGUAUUAGAUGUUACCCAGAUUUAGGGUGGUUGUCUCACUUCAAAUGAUCCAGUCAGAUCACUCACAGGUAUGCCUAGCUGCUUGGGGUUUGGUUGGUUCCAGAUAUAGUCAAGUUGACAACCAAGAUGAGGAGCCAUCAAGUCCCCUUCUAGCCUUCUCCAACCUCUGACUGCUCCCUGAGACUCUGAGCAGUUAGGGCAAACUUGCAAAUGGCUUGCAAAGGGCAGGCUAGAGUCCAUUGAUUCUCGCACACCCUCCUUCUAGGAGGCUGUGUCAACAGUCCACAGUUGGGAUCCUUCAGCCAUCGUAAGCACACCAAGCAGAGCUCAUAAAGAUGCAACAGUUGUGACUUGUAUGCCCCAGUGAACUCCCCAAGCCCCUAUUCCAUGGGUCAGAGAGUUGAGGUAGCAAACACAAUGUUGAGUUCUGCACCGAGGGAGGAAAACCAAGAGCACCAGGCAGUUCUCUGCUGGUUUUAACACUGACACUUUUAGACCCCACCCAGUAAUAAACCAUAUAUAUAUCUGCCAGGAGAGAUCAGUGCUCUCAUUAUCCCUUGCAGCAACCACUUGGCUCUAGAGGCCAAGCAGUCCCCUGUAUACCAGCUCAGAGUUCUCUAUUGAUGCAGUCACUCACAGGUAUUAGGGUGCGUUCCUUUCUAUGGAGAGUAGAGCACCAACAGCUGUACCCCUGUGCCUUUCAUAGCUGGCACUUAACUCAUAUGGUCAUCAUCUGACCCCACUCUCUCCUGACUGUUUCCAACCUAGACAUUGUUGCAGGGUGGUUUUCAGAUCCCCAGGGUAUCUCCAAUCC